rnacentral:rRNA from 1 species
CACGUAGGGGCCAAGCGUUGUCCGGAUUUAUUGGGCGUAAAGAGCUCGUAGGCGGCUUGUCGCGUCGUCCGUGAAACCCGGGGCUCAACCCCGGGACUGCGUCCGAUACUUCCGAGCUGGAGGUAGGUAGGGGAGAUCGGAAUUCCUGGUGUAGCGGUGAAAUGCGUAGAUAUCGAGAGGAACACCUGGCGGCGAAGGCGGGUUGCUGGGCUGACACUGACGCUGAGGCGCGAAAGCUAGGGGAGCGAACGGG